UACGAAGGGGCUAGCGUUGUUCGGAAUUACUGGGCGUAAAGCGCGCGCAGGCGGCUCUUCAAGUCAGGGGUGAAAGCCCAGAGCUCAACUCUGGAACUGCCUUUGAGACUGAAGAGCUUGAGUACGGGAGAGGUGGAGUGGAAUUCCCAGUGUAGGAGGUGAAAUUCGGUAGAUAUUGGGAAGAACACCGGUGGCGAAGGCGGCUCACUGGCCCGUUACUGGACGCUCAGGCGCGAACAGGCGUGGGGAUCGAAACAGG
rnacentral:rRNA from 1 species